rnacentral:rRNA from 1 species
UACCCCAUAUGCUUGAGAGUGAAACGGAUUUAUCCGCCUAGAGAAAAGCUCGCGGAUUAGCUAGUUGGUAAGGUAAUGGCUUACCAAGGCGACGAUCAGUAUGUUUGAGAGGACGAUCAGACACACUGGAACUGAGACACGGUCCAGACUACGGGAGGCAGCAGUGGGGAAUUUUCCGCAAUGGGCGAAAGCCUGGAGCAAUACCGCGUGAGGGAAGACGGCCUAUGGGUUGUAAACCUCUUUUUUCAGGGAGGAAUCAAUGACGUGUACCUGAAGAAUAAGCAUCGGC